AGCAAUCCGAGGUUAUCAUCGAAAAAAUUGUAAGUUAUUUUUGUUAUUUUCAUUUAUUUUAAGCAUUAAUUAUAUUAAUACUUGAAAAUAUGAUUUUUGUGUACUCUUGCAGGAUUCCUUGGAAUCCGACGGUAAAUUUGUUGUUGAAGGUCGUCACGAUAUCCUGAUUGAAGCAAUUGGACGACUUGAGAACUCUGGUCGUGUUUGUGCAACUGGACAAGGGGUCGGAAUUAAACUAUAUUUUGGAGUUUCAGAACGACAGUCAUCCUCCUCCUCCAAAGAGAACGAAACUCAAAUGAAGACUAAGAUACGUGAAGAAUUAAUGGAGGAGAUGAGAAAGGAGACUGAUUUGAUGCGGCUAGAGAUGAAAAAGGAG
rnacentral:lncRNA from 1 species